ACUUAUUUAGUAUAUAAAGUAUAUAAAGCUUCCAACUUUAAGGUUUUAAUUAAGUAAGUA
rnacentral:tRNA from 1 species